rnacentral:lncRNA from 1 species
CUGUUGUCUUGGUGACAAGGAGACACACAAACAUAAACAGAGCCUUGCAUUUUCUCUCUCUCUCCUUUUCACAGAGAGACACAAGGAAAUCCUAUCAGAGACAAAGGAAGAAAUGCACAAUGGAGUGAAAUAGAGGAUGGCACUUACAGUUCACCUGUUUAAAGAGUCCCAGAAGAAAAAUAUCUCAUUUGUAGGCAAGGAUGAAGCUCUAAGAAUUGCUGACAUGUACCAGGGCUCUUGCUGAGAUGCUGGUUUUAUGUUUGUCUCUCAGUCUCUUUAUCAGGACUCCAAAAGUUUUUUAACACAGGACCUUAGAAGACUGGUCUGACUGGAAACUCUAAGUUCUGUGAACUUUAAUUUUCAAGUGUACUCCAUGUUGAACCUGAAAUUAAACUUUCCUUGCUUAAUGUGAGUACAUUCAGACUGAAUCAGAAUCUAAGCAAGAUCACGGUAGCAUGGUUAUGUUGGAAAAAACAGAACUCAGUCAUCUCAGUAGACAAAAACUUUCUUAAAAAAUACUUAAAGACAAUGAAAAUUCACAAAAAAAAUCGAACACUCGGGAGCAUCACUGG